UGUCAUUAAACAAAGCUAUAGCAUUGUGAAUGAAAUGAGAAAAUGUUUAAUAUUUUGUGUAUUAAUAUCGGCAAAACGAUACGUAUUAACGAGAAAUUACUGUCCAGGGCUUUGAAAAAACAUACCGUAUUUAAUCGCAUAAUGUCCGCCAUCGCAUAAUGUCUGCACAUUUCUUUUUAAAUACUUGAAAUGGAAUUUUUUAAAAUCCGCAUAAAGUCCGCACCAGACAAAGCAACCUUGGCCACCCCUGAAAGGCACAGUAACGGGAUGGAAAAUUACCGAUGCUGUCAGCAAUGCUUUGACCUUGAGUUGUUCAUUUCUCCGGAGCGGUCGCUGAGAGGGUUUGUAGCGUGGUGAAACUGUCCGGACUCAGAAACUCGCACUCUACUGCGCAGCUGCCUGCGACGUCACUGUCACUAACGAUCGUAGCGACUUCCUGUCGUUCCAGCCACUAGAAGAAACACACCUCGCAGUUCUUCCACACUGUUGCCGUCGACUGCAGCACAUUGAAAAGGAUGAGCACUGAUGACACACGUCCCUCCGAUGACUCUGACAUCACCUUGCUGCAGUGGGGAUUCCUCGGGGCUUCUAGCAGGUGUCAGCUUGGCGUCGUGUCUCUGUGUGGAGGGGGUACGUUCCUCAGCCUGGUAUCUUGCUCAGCACUUC